GAUGAACGCUGGCGGCGUGCCUAAUACAUGCAAGUCGAGCGAACAGACGAGGAGCUUGCUCCUCUGACGUUAGCGGCGGACGGGUGAGUAACACGUGGAUAACCUACCUAUAAGACUGGGAUAACUUCGGGAAACCGGAGCUAAUACCGGAUAAUAUAUUGAACCGCAUGGUUCAAUAGUGAAAGACGGUUUUGCUGUCACUUAUGGAUGGAUCCGCGCCGCAUUAGCUAGUUGGUAAGGUAACGGCUUACCAAGGCAACGAUGCGUAGCCGACCUGAGAGGGUGAUCAGCCACACAGGAACUGAGACACGGUCCAGGCUCCUACGGGAGGCAGCAGUAGGGAAUCUUCCGCAAUGGGCGAAAGCCUGACGGAGUAACGCCGCGUGAGUGAUGAAGGUCUUCGGAUCGUAAAACUCUGUUAUUAGGGAAGAACAAAUGUGUAAGUAACUAUGCACGUCUUGACGGUACCUAAUCAGAAAGCCACGGCUAAGUACGUG
rnacentral:rRNA from 1 species